rnacentral:snoRNA from 1 species
UUGGGUGAUGAAUUAAACGACUUUGGGAUUCCUCAAACCGAACAUAUCAUGUCGAUUACGUUGUAACUAGUUUCAGCCUUGUCUGACA